rnacentral:rRNA from 1 species
UACGUAGGUGGCAAGCGUUAUCCGGAAUUAUUGGGCGUAAAGAGCGUGUAGGCGGCUCGAUAAGUCUGCUGUGAAAGUCCAGGGCUCAACCCUGGAAGGCCGGUGGAAACUGUCGGGCUAGAGUCCGGAAGAGGCGAGUGGAAUUCCCGGUGUAGCGGUGAAAUGCGCAGAUAUCGGGAGGAACACCAAUGGCGAAGGCAGCUCGCUGGGACGGUACUGACGCUGAGACGCGAAAGCGUGGGGAGCAAACAGG